rnacentral:rRNA from 1 species
GACGAACGCUGGCGGCGUGCUUAACACAUGCAAGUCGAACGGUGAAGCGCCUUCCUUUUUGGUUGGGGUGGAGGAGUGGCGAACGGGUGAGUAACACGGGAGUAACCUGCCCCCUUCUUCUGGAUAACCGCAUGAAAGUGUUGCUAAUACGGGAUAUUCUGGUUCUUUCGCAUGAUGGGUCUGGGAAAGAUAUUGUUUCGGUGGGGGAUGGGCUCGCGUCCUAUCAGCUUGCUGGUGGGGUGAUGGCCUACCAAGGCGGUGACGGGUAGCCGGCCUGAGAGGGUGGGCGGCCAGACUGGGACGGAGACACGGCACAGACGCAUACGGGAGGCAGCAGUGGGGAAUAUUGCAGAAGGGGCGCAAGACUGAUGCAGAGACGCCGCGUGAGGGAUGGAGGCCUUCGGGUUGUGAACCUCUUUCGCCAGUGAAGCAGGCCUGCCUCGUUUGUGGGUGGGUUGACGGUAGCUGGAGAAGAAGCGCCGGCUAACUACGUG